UGCGGCUGGUCCUGAAGACCUUAUUUAUGCUGGUGUGUUGUGGUCUGUGCAUCCUCCUGCUCAAUUACUCAAGCAUUUAUUUUGGAAAUUUUUCAUCGGAUGAAUUCAUAGAUUACACUGAGUACAUUCCCAACUGCACUGAGAACGCCGCAGAACAGCAGAACAAUGAACACCUAGCGAAAACGGU